UACGGGGGGGGCAAGCGUUGUUCGGAAUUACUGGGCGUAAAGGGCUCGUAGGCGGCCAACUAAGUCGGAUGUGAAAUCCCCAGGCUCAACCUGGGAACUGCAUCCGAUACUGGAUGGCUUGAAUCCGGGAGAGGGAUGCAGAAUUCCAGGUGUAGCGGUGAAAUGCGUAGAUAUCUGGAGGAAUACCGGUGGCGAAGGCGGCAUCCUGGACCGGCAUUGACGCUGAGGAGCGAAAGCCAGGGGAGCAAACAGG
rnacentral:rRNA from 1 species